CCUACGGGUGGCUGCAGUGAGGAAUAUUGGUCAAUGGGCGAGAGCCUGAACCAGCCAAGUCGCGUGAAGGAUGAAGGAUCUAUGGUUUGUAAACUUCUUUUAUAUGGGAAUAAAGUGAGGAACGUGUUCCUUUUUGUAUGUACCAUAUGAAUAAGCAUCGGCUAACUCCGUGCCAGCAGCCGCGGUAAUACGGAGGAUCCGAGCGUUAUCCGGAUUUAUUGGGUUUAAAGGGAGCGUAGGUGGAUUGUUAAGUCAGUUGUGAAAGUUUGCGGCUCAACCGUAAAAUUGCAGUUGAAACUGGCAGUCUUGAGUACAGUAGAGGUGGGCGGAAUUCGUGGUGUAGCGGUGAAAUGCUUAGAUAUCACGAAGAACUCCGAUUGCGAAGGCAGCUCACUGGACUGCAACUGACACUGAGGCUCGAAAGUGUGGGUAUCAAACAGGAUUAGAUACCCUAGUAGUC
rnacentral:rRNA from 1 species